rnacentral:rRNA from 1 species
GACGAACGCUGGCGGCGUGCCUAAUACAUGCAAGUCGAGCGCAGGAAACUGACGGAACUCUUCGGAGGGAAGGCAGCGGAAUGAGCGGCGGACGGGUGAGUAACACGUAAGGAACCUGCCUCAAGGAUUGGGAUAACUCCGAGAGAUCGGAGCUAAUACCGGAUAGUUCAACGGACCGCAUGGUCCGCUGAUGAAAGGCGCUUCGGCGUCACCUUGAGAUGGCCUUGCGGUGCAUUAGCUAGUUGGUGGGGUAACGGCCCACCAAGGCGACGAUGCAUAGCCGACCUGAGAGGGUGAUCGGCCACACUGGGACUGAGACACGGCCCAGACUCCUACGGGAGGCAGCAGUAGGGAAUCUUCCACAAUGGACGAAAGUCUGAUGGAGCAACGCCGCGUGAGUGAUGAAGGUUUUCGGAUCGUAAAACUCCGUUGUAAGGGAAGAACACGUACGAGAGGAAAUGCUCGUACCUUGACGGUACCUUACGAGAAAGCCACGGCUAACUACGUGCCAGCAGCCGCCGUAA